UAAAGGAGGAAGUAAAGCUUCCUAGAAUAUAUAGGAGAAUCCAGCCCAGAGGAUUACCUCAUCCGAGCCAAUCUUGAUAAUCUGUUGCCCAGCAUUAAUAAAAAGAAAAGAAAAAUCCUCAUAUCAGCCUUAAAUUGCUAGCACACCAAGGACUGCAUGAAUCAUUAGCUCCAAGCACCAGACCAGUGUUCAGCCAAGGUACCUCAGGAUUCCUUCAUGAUGUAAGGAUUCCUACCCUAGGCAGAGCUUUUUCUCUCAGCUGCCCCCUUCGUGUGCAGAUUGGCGUCACAAAUAACGAGCACUUAUGCACGAAAGUAUUACAUCCACU